rnacentral:rRNA from 1 species
GUCAARCAGCAGAUCCAAUUUYGCCMCGAAUCAUAGCAUGGGAUAAUGRAUAGRCCCUGUCCUCCUAUUUUCAGUUGGUUUGGCAGCGCGAGGACUAGGGUAAUGAUUAAUAGGGAUAGUGGGGGCAUAAUAUUUAAUUGUCAGAGGUGAAAUUCUUGGAUUUAUGAAAGAUUAACUUCUGCGAAAGCAUCUGCCAAGGAUGUUUUCAUUAAUCAAGAACGAAAGUUAGGGGAUCGAAGACGAUCAGAUACCGUCGUAGUCUUAACCAUAAACGAUGCCGACCAGCGAUUAGGAGACGUUGAAUACAUACACCACCAUCGGCGCGGUCGUCCUUGGCGUCUCGGUCCUUCACGGGCCGGGCGCGGG